rnacentral:lncRNA from 1 species
GUAGCUUGAUGGACUUGGUGGGUAUUUAGUGUUUGGCGAGUCUCCUGCAACGCUAAUACUAUGAACACUAUCAUUUCCGCUUUUGGCUCCGAGUUCACUCUUUCUGAAAGUAUGGGAGCUAAGGUCUCUUUGGUCGAUUAUUCUUGAUAUGAUCCAAAUUCUUCUCCAGAAAGGAGUUUCAGAAUCAAAGCGCAACAAGACAUGCCUUUGAUUAUACAAGAACAUUGCUGCAAAUAUGAUUAGAGCUGAUAUUGAGACGACCCCAGCAAUGAGGAACAAGCCCCAAAAACUCUCAACACCAAGACAGUUGGGAGAAACCAAAGUGUUGGGGUCAGGACAAUUGCUUUCCUUCUUGAACCAUGUCUAUUCAAUUUGAUUCAUUUUAUCACCUUGAGUAACAUUUAGGACUGCCUUGAAAACAUCUGCUACAAGAGGGGAACCUCUAGGAAAGACCUGUAAAUUACAAAACAGUAUCAGCACAAGAAACAUCCCAUAUGGUUAGAGAGAAGAUUAGAGAUUGAGAGAGAACUCACAAAACCGAAGCCAUUAGUUCUCAAUUUUGGUUCGACUGCGGUAUAUUUGAACCAAUAUUUGGCGAGAAAGAGCUUCAUAUAAGGAAUUUCGUCCAAAGUAGCAGCAACCCCACCAUUGGCACUUCCUUUGGUAAAGAGAUCAUGAAGUUCUUCCGGGGACUGGUAUUCUAUGAGCUGGGAUUCAGGAAAUCUAAACCGACCCUUUAAGAUUCCUUCGAUAAAGGAGCCUUUCAGGAAACCAACCUUCUCCUCUUUCUUUAAGAGCUCCUGUAUGUAAGUUACCGUAGGUUGGAGUUGUUGCACAGUUAGAAGUGAGGUCAAACUAGCCGUGUAGCUUUGGGUGAGAAUGAGGACGACGAAACACCAUAUUAUUACAAAGAAUCGAGCCAAGUUACUAACCACUCUCUCCCUUGCAAGUAUAAUCCGAGAAGCAAAGAAAGUAAACAAUCUGAAGUCAAUAGUACAACUUCGUAAAUAGAGAAGGUGAAAGAAUUAUUACGAUGUGCAAACACCAUGGUGGAGAAGGAGAACCAGAAGCUCGUGCCGGCUUGAUGCGAAGGGGGUCCCCCGAAAUCUUCAUUUAUUAUGUGUUCUAGAACCCAGACAACAAAUCCGAUGAAAAGAAAAAAACAAGCACUUGUCAACCAAAGGUCCCAUGUCAGAGGUUUCAAGAAAACCCAUGCAUUCUUCCUCCUGUUAUCUCUGAUCGGAACAAACAUUGAUACACCUGAUUCAGUGUAUGGUAAUGUGAAGUCCACGUAUUGUGACCUGUUUGCCACAAUCGUUGUAUCUCCUACCACUGCAUCGUAUGUCUGUUCAUAUUUGCUAAAAAAUUAAUGAAAAUUCCUGUUAACAAACUCAACGUAUAAAGAAGAUAAGGAGAUGUUUUACCCCAUUGUACACUUGAAAGAUUAAGUCAUCAUAAGUCCCGGCGCUCUUGCCGUCGGGUGUUGCAAAGGGAAUAAACUCAUAAGUAACAACAUAAGGCAUUGCAGCCAUUACAGCAUAAAAAACAUCUAUGCAAUAUCUGGUGACUGAAGCAGCUGUAUGAGAAUUAAAAUCCCAUGUUUAACAAAUUCACUGAAACCACCCUUCACUGGAACCCCAAUCCUCAACUUUUUCUCAUUUGUUGGAAUCUCCCAGCCUUUUGGAGGAGAGGUGGUAGCCCCUGGCCAUAUGAUGGGGCCAAGAUUUGGCUUAUGAGUAGAAUUAGUGCUUCUGUUUGCCAAAUUCAAUUCUUUUACAAGUCCACUUUUUGGUGUCCAAAACCCGACUCUUCUUUCCCCAUUUCCAUUUACGUUAACUAUCUGAAAAACUGGUGAUUGUAGCUGUCCAUUAACAAAAUUAAUGUCUCCGGUAAGACCCCUGAAUUUAGUGCUUGACAAUGCUAGGAUAAGUUGUGGACCAUUUUAUGAGACGCCGAGAGAUUCAAGAUCUGUUCCACUGCUGGAAACAUUAGUUUUGUUGAAGCCGAAGUUUCCCAUGCUAACAUUCUCAAUUGCCAUGGCUAGUGCAAAAGUGGCAUCAUAAGCCCACGGUCCAAAAAUGUUCAACUCAGCAUUAAUAAUGGUGGGAUUGUCUUGCUCGAAUUUCCUUUUCCAUCGAACUUUAAAAUUUUCUAACUCAUUUGUUCUGGGAACGUAAGUCCUUACACCUAAAACCCCUUGCAUGGAAUCGAUGGUUGGAGGGUUUGUUAAACUCCAAAGAUUAGUCAUUCCAUCUGUCACGAUCCAAGCAUAGCCUUCACUCAUCAUUCCAACCUCUUUCGCUAUGGCAAAAAGCUUGGUGCCGAGAGAUGGUGGCAUGUGCACAAUGAACACUCUUGUUUGUAUCGUCAUUAGCUUGUAAAUCUCUUCCGAAAUUUGGUCAUCGUUAGCCGAUGAAGGGAUGACACUCCGGUAUGGGACACGAACAUUGAUCCCUUGCAAGGCGUUUGUCAAGUAGGGUAUAAUACCCUCUCCAAUUUCAUCGUCUAUGUAGAUUGGCAUAGCUUCUCUCCAUCCAAAGGCUACAACAAUUGCACAAAUGGCUUUCACUUGAGAUGAGUCAUUUUGUGUAGCUCGGAAAAAGUAUGGACUCCGAAGAAAGGUAAGGGAAGGACUUGUUGCCGAAAACGAUAUGACGGGUACCUGGGAUUUGUUUCCGAGGUUGAUAACAAAAUUGGCCUACAUUGAAGUGUACGGCCCUAUGAUUGCUUGCACUUGUACAUUUUUUAUCAAGUCAAGAGCUGUUUGUCAAGCAAACAAAAUUCUGACUUAAAUAUAGUUGCUGUAGCUGGAUAAUCCUAGAUUAUAUAUGCUCUGACUACUCGUUAACUAAAUCUACAUGUGUCUCGUGCCAAUUAUAUUUUUGCAAUAUACACAUACUUCUCUAUGGUAAUAAUGCCUAUCACUCAUUUUCUUUAAGUCAUUUUCAAGAUAAACUAGUACAAAUAUUUUAAUAGAUUUUAAGCCAAAUAUUCUCGAUACAGCUAGUCUCGAGUUCAUGGUAUAAAAUUAUAUAUAUAUAUAAAGUGAAGGCAAAUUGAUCAGUCACAAAAUCUAAGAUAUAAGUUAUUUAGCCCUUUUAUAUUAUUUUAUUUCAAUAUAAUACAAGUUAUUCAUUUAAAUUUGAUUUUAUAUAUGAAAUUUUUUCAAACUUAUUUUAUAGAAGGAGAAUUCAAACUUAAUUUUUUUAAAAAAGAUAAAUUAAUAUAUAUAUUUGAGAAUCAAAUAACCAAGUAAGUAAAUAUAUAUAUAUAUUUUUUAAUACCAUAAAUCUUUUCCACUUAAAUAUUUGACUUCUUUAUAAGUAUAUCUUUCAUCUACUUAAAUAUUUGUAUUUUUAAAUAUUUUUUUAAUUUAAUCCUUCAACAUCUCAAUUUUAUUCAAUUUAAUUCAUGUACUAUACAUUUUUAUUUAAUUUAAUAUCUAUGUUGUGACACAAAAAAUUUUUAAACAUUUUUUAAUCUAUCACAUGGCACUGACACGCUAGCAUGUCAAUGUCAAGCUCGUCUUCUCAAAGAAUGCUAGUUAGGGUGAUGCCAAUCUCGAAGAGGUGUUGGCGAUUUAAGAGGCCAUUUUAUAGCCUCCUCUUGGGUGCAUUCUUAUAGCAUUAUCAUUGAAUCUGACUCUAUGAGUGUUGUGUCUUGGGUGUCCGAUCCUACUAAAGCUUCGUCAAGGUUGAGACAACUUAUCCUUCAGAUUUGCUCACUCAAAAAUGCAGUUGCUAGCUGGCAGAUCAGGCAUAUUUCAAGAUCAGUAAUGAGGCUGCUAACAUCCUUGCCAAAUUAGGGGUUGAUAGAGUCCAUGAUUUAUUACGCUUUCAGCCUUAAUUGUUGUUGUGACUUUGUGCUUGCGGGGAUUUUUGGGUUAUUGCUUUAGUAUGGAGUUGCUGCCUUUCUCAAUCAUGUGAAGGUAAUGUCUAAUCCGGGGAAUGUCAUGCUUUUGUCAGAUUUGCAAGAGGAGUAAACAUCCAUGAGGGCCAUGUUUCUUACUCUUGUUUAUCAUUUUGCCUAUUUUUGUUUUGGGAUGCGGUUUAUUGCUAAGGAGAUAUGAGAACUUUUUUUGUAUAGUUACAGGUUGUUUCUGACUAUAUUUUUGUAAGCCAGACUUCCAAUAAAGUCCUACUCAUUGUGUAUAUGGGAUUUUCCCUUUUGUUAAUGAAGUUUACUGUCUUUAAUUUUCCAAAAAAAAAAGGUUUAAGCCUCGUCAUUAUUUCAAUCAUAGUCGAAGAAACAACUUAACUAUUUGCAUGCAUUACACUUUACAUCAGGCCUAAACCAACAAUAUGACUCCGUGCGACUCCUUUUCUUGUAAUGGGGACAAAUAGGGAAUCUUGUUCUCCUGUUCUGAACUUUUCUUCCCUGUGAGUUUCUGAUUUCUUUAUCCUUGACUUCACUCACAUAUUUCUUGGUUGAAGCUUCUGCAUGUGCCUUUUCCCUUCAUUCAAAUAAUAAAGGCAAGAUCAGCUUUUUCAUUUUUCCUAGCAACUUUCCUUUAUUCAUCAACUUCUAAAACAUUCACCAAAUUUGAUAUAGAGCUCUGUGAGAUGUCUUUCACUUGUUCCAAAGAAGAAACUGUGGCAUCAAACCUUUCAGGUAAACUGGUAAGGACUUUCUCCACAACCUUAGCAUCAGAUAAAGUCUUUCUCAACAGUCGAAUUUGAUUUUCCAGCUUCAUCACUGCAUUAAUGAAUUCUUGCACAGUCUGAUUUUCUUUCAUCCUCAGAAGUUCAUAUUACCUUCUGAAGUUCUGUAGAUGAAUUGGCUUGUUUAUGGCAGACCCCAAAAGUUCUUCUUCAAGUUUGUUCCAACCCUGUUUUGCUGUCUCACAUCCCAUAAUCAUGCUGAAAACGGACUCUGUAAUAGCUGAGUGUAUGAAGGAUAAGGCUCUGAAUUUCUUUGCAAUAUCCUCUUUAUAUUGCUUUACCUAUGUUAGUGUGGCUUUAUCUCUCAAUGCUGGUACAUCUGUCUCAUUUUCAACUGCAUUCAAUAGAUUGACACCUUUCAAGAAUGCUUUCAUUCUAAUGACCCAAACAAGAUAGUUAGAGCCAUCAAAAAUGGGUGUAGUUUGACAUUUUGAUGAAGAAUAAACUUGUGAUGAGUGAGAAAGAGGUUUUAACUGGCUCACAAAUUGGUUAUCUGCUUUGAUAUCAUGUCAUGAAGCUAAAAGAAGAUGAUAAAAAUAGUAUUAUAUACUGUUCUAUAGAAAAAGGAAAAACAUAGAGCAAGCUGGAGAAGGAAAGAUGCUUCAUUAAUUACUAAACAGAUAAUAUAUAUACAAGCAUCAUAUGGUUAACAACUGUUUACAAAGUGUACAAGUGUUAUUAACUAAAACAUGCACUAAAACACCUUAUAAACACUGGUAUAAUAUUCUUAAUAACCAGUACAAUGAAGCAAAAUACAUAGUAAAAAACAAAAUGAUAAAGUUAAUGCAUGCUUUAACUCUAACUUGUACAUCAAUUUAUAUUCUUCAUUACCGACGUUGUCAAUGGAGCAAAGGGGAAUAUCUACACCAAUUAUUCUCUGGGGCCAUUUGUAGUGUUACCAAGCUCAAUAGACUGUCUUCCGGGAGAAGGGAAUAUCUCUGGAGAAGCUGUAACACUUGGGGUAAUAUCACCAUUUUCAGCUACUCUUCGUUGAUCUGCCGAGAACACAAAGUCUGGCUCUGUCUGGUUUGAGUAGCUUGAUGGACUUGGUGGGCAGUUAGUGUUUGGUGAGUCUCCUGCAACGCUAAUACUAUGAACACUAUCAUUUUCGCUUUUGUCUUCGAGUUCACUUUUUCUGAAAGUAUGGGAGCUAAGGUCUCUUUGGUCGAAAAUUCUUGACAUGAUCUGAAUUCUUCUCCAGAAAGGAGUUUCAGAAUCAAAACGCAACAAGACAUGCCUUUGCUCAUAAAAAAAUAUUGCUACAAAUAUGAUUAGAGCUGAUAUUGAGGCGACUCCAGCAAUAAGGAACAAGCCCCCAAAACUCUCAACACCAAGACUGUUGGAAGAAACCAAAGUGUUGAGGUCAGGACAACUGCUUCCCUUAUUGAACCAGGCCUGUUCAAUUUGAUUCAUUUUUUCACCCUCAGUAACAUUUAGGAUUGCCCUGGAAACAUCUGCUACAAGAGGGGAACCUCUAGGGAAGACCUAUAAAUUACAAAAUAGUAUCAUCAUAAAGAAACAUCCCAUAUGGUUAGAGAGAAAAUUAGAGAUUAAGAGAGAACUCACAAAACCGAAGCCAUCAGUUCUCAAUUUUGGUUCGACUGCGGUAUAUUCGUCGCAAUAUUUGGCGAGAAAGAGCUUCAUAUAAGGAAUUUCGUCCAAAGUAGCAACAACCCCACCAUUGGCACUUCCUUUGGUAAAGAGAUCAUGAAGUUCUUCUGGGGACUGGUAUUCUAUGAGCUGGGAUUCAGGAAAUCUAAACUGACCCUUCAAGAUUCCUUCGAUAAAGGAGUCUUUCAGGAAACCAACCUUUUCCCCUUUCUUUAAGAGCUAUUGUAUGUCAGUUACCGUAGGUUGGAGCUGUUGCACAGUUAGAAGUGAAGUCAAACUAGCCGUGUAGCUUUGGGUGAGAAUGAGGACGACGAAACACCAUAUUAUUACCACGAAUCGAGCCAAGUUACUGACAACUCUCUCCCCUGCAAUUAUAAUCCAAGAAGCAAAGAAAGUAAACAAUCUGAAGUCAAUAGUACAACUUCGUAAAUAGAGAAGGUGAAAGAAUUAGUACGAUGUGCAAACACCAUGGUCGAGAAGGAGAACCAGAAACUCGUGCCAGCUUGAUGCGAAGGGGGUCCCCUGAAAUCUUCAUUUAUUCUGUGUUCUAGAACCCAAACAACAAAUCCGAUGAAAAGGAAAAAACAAGCACUUGUCACCCAGAGGUCCCAUGUCAGAGGUUUCAAGAAAACCCAUGCAUUCUUCCUCCUGUUAUCUCUGAUCGGUACAAACAUUGAUACACCUGAUUCAGUGUAUGGUAAUGUGAAGUCCACGUAUUGUGACCUGUUUGCCACAAUCGUUGUAUCUCCUACCACCGCAUCGUAUGUCUGUUCAUUUUUGCCAAAAAAAUUAAUGAAAAUUCCUGUUGACAAACUCAACGUAUAAAGAAGAUAAGGAGAUGUUUUACCCCAUUGUACACUUGAAAGAUUAAGUCAUCAUAAGUCCCGGCGCUCUUGCCAUAUGGUGUUGCAAAGGGAAUGAACUCAUAAGUAACAGCAUAAGGCAUUGCAGCCAUUACAGCAUCAAAAACAUCUAUGCAAUAUCCGGUGACUGAAGUAGCUGUAUGAGAAUUAGGAUCCCAUGUUACUUUAACAAAUUCACUGAAACCACGCUUCAUUGGAACCCCAAUCCUCAACUUCUUCUCAUUUGUUGGAAUCUCCCAGCCUUUUGGAGGAGAGGUGGUAUCCCCUGGCCAUAUGAUGGGGCCAAGAUUUGGCUUAUGAGUAGAAUUAGUGCUUCUGUUUGCCAAAUUCAAUUCUUUUACAAGUCCACUUUUUGGUGUCCAAAACCCGACUCUUCUUUCCCCAUUUCCAUUUACGUUAACAAUCUGAAAAACUGGUGAUUGUAGCUGUCCAUUAACAAAAUUAAUGUCUCCAGUAAGACCCUUGAAUUUAGUGCUUGACAAUGCUUGGAUAAGUUGUGGACCAUUUUGUGAGACGCCGAGAGAUUCAAGAUUUGUUCCACUGCUGGAAACAUUAGUUUUGUUGAAGCUGAAGUUUCCCAUGCUAACAUUCUCAAUUGCCAUGGCUAGUGCAAAAGUGGCAUCAUAAGCCCACGGUCCAAAAAUGUUCAACUCAGCAUUAAUAAUGGUGGGAUUGUCUUGCUGGAAUUUCCUUUUCCAUCGAACUUUAAAAUUUUCUAACUCAUUUGUUCCGGGAAAGUAAGUCCUUACACCUAAAACCCCUUGCAUGGAAUCGAUGGUUGGAGGGUCUGUUAAACUCCAAAGAUUAGUCAUUCCAUCUGUCACGAUCCAAGCAUAGCCUUUACUCAUCAUUCCAACCUCUUUCGCUAAUGCAAAAAGCCUGGUGCCGAGAAAUAGUGGCAUGUGCACAAUGAACACUCUUGUUUGCAUCGUCAAUAGCUUGUAAAGCUCUUCUGAAAUUUGGUCAUCGCUAGCCGGUGAAGGGAUGACACUCCGGUAUGGGACACGAACAUUGAUCCCUUGCAAGGCGUCUGUCAAGUAAGGUAUAAUACCCUCUCCAAAUUCAUCGUCUAUGUAGAUUGGCACAGCUUCUCUCCAUCCAAAGGCUACAACAAUUGUACUAAUGGCUUUCACUUUAGAUGAGUCAUUUUGUGUAGCUCGGAAAAAGUAUGGACUCCGAAGGGAGGUAAGAGAAGGGCUUGUUGCCGAAAAUGAAAUGAUUGGAACUUGAGAUUUGUUUCCGAGAUUGAUAAGAAAAUUGGCCUGCAUUGAAGUGUGCGGCCCUAUGAUUGCUUGCACUUGUACAUUUUUUAUCAAGUCAAGAGCUGUUUGUCAAGCAAACAAAAUUCUGACUUAAAUAUAGUUGCUGUAGCUGGAUAAUCCUAGAUUAUAUAUGCUCUGACUACUCGUUAACUAAAUCUAUAUAUGCUCUGACUACUCGUUAACUAAAUCUACAUAUGUCUCAUGCCAAUUAUAUUUUUGCAAUAUACACAUACUUCUCUAUGGUAAUAAUACCUAUCACUCCUUUUCUUUAAGUCAUUUUCAAGAUAAACUAGUACAAAUAUUUUAAUAGAUUUUAAGCCAAAUAUUCUCGAUACAGCUAGUCUCGAGUUCAUAGUAUAAAAAUAUAUAUAUAUAUAUAUAUAUAAAGUGAAGGCAAAUUGAUCAGUCACAAAAUCUAAGAUAUACUAUAUUUAGCCCUUUUAUAUUAUUUUAUUUCAAUAUAAUACAAGUUAUUCAUUUAAAUUUGAUUUUAUAUAUAAAAUUUUUUCAAACUUAUUUUAUAGAAGGAGAAUUCAAACUUAAUUUUUAUAAAAAAGAUAAAUUAAUAUAUAUAUAUAUAUUUGAGAAUCAAAUAAUCAAGUAAGUAAAUAUUUAUAUAUAUUUUUUAAUACCGUAAAUCUUUUCCACUUAAAUAUUUGACUUCUUUAUAAGUAUAUCUUUCAUCUACUUAAAUAUUUAUAUUUUUAAAUAUUUUUUUAAUGUAGUCCUUCAACAUCUCAAUUUUAUUCAAUUUAAUUCAUGUACUAUACAUUUUUAUUUAAUUUAAUCUCUAUGUUGUGACACAAAAAAUUUUUAAAAUUUUUUUAAUCUAUCACAUGGCACUGACACGCUAGCAUGUCAAUGUCACAUCAACAUAUUAGUGCCAUGUGGUACUACCACAUCAUCAUAUUAGUGCCACAUGGCAUGCCACAUCAUCAUAUGGGUGCCACAUCAUCAUUGAUAUCAAUGCUGAUAUCAUCAUUUUAACAAAAAAAAUUGGAUACUGUUAAAAGAGGGAUUAAAUUGAAAAAAUUCUCAAAAUCAAAAUAUUAAAUUAUUUCGAUUUUGAAUAUAGGGAUUGAAUUGAACAAAAUACAUAAAUAUAGGGACUUGUUGGAUGUUUUGAUUAAGGUUGAAAGUUAAGAUUUCUAAAAGUUUUUCAUAUAUAUCAACUUUUUUUUUCUGAAAAAAAGGAAAAGGAAAGUCACAUGGAGAGAGGUGACAGAGGAAACGCGUACCAGCAGCAGCGGCGCCAAUAACGUCCUUGGAGUCCCUGGGGUUCAAGACAAUCCUGGUUCUGUAGGAAGCAUGAGUGGCGUAAAAGUCAGAGAGGGCCAUGUUGAUGCAGCUCAACCCAAUCUUCCCAAGCUUUGUAUCCAAGUCAAGAACCACCCCCACAUUAACAGGGAUGCUAUUGUUGUUUUGUGCAACAACCACAUGCAUCAACAAAACCUUGCACGAAAUGACCACGAGGUAGAAAAAAUGGAGGGGAGGGCUAGUUACUGCGGUAGCUUUUUGCAUCUUCAUUGAAGCUCUUGAGCAGGGUCUGGCCUUCACAAGAAGAUACUGAUAUUUACACUGGAUGAAUAAAAGAGCCGCAAUUGGAGAAAUUGCAUGGGUAAAUUCUGAAGGAUAUGGUUAGCACAACUCAAGACUGAAGAGUGAAUAAUUAAAUAAUAAUAAAAAACUUAUCUCCUCCUCCUUACAUAAGGGAGUGGGACAAUGUCGAUCUGAUGCCUAGAGAUAGAAUUUGUCUUGUUUCAGUAUCAAUCGUUUACCUUGACCAAAUCAAAAUACAGACAAAAAAAAAUCGACAUCACCUUGUUGCUCUCAAAUUAAUUAGAAAAGAAAUUCUGCUCCUCCAAAUUUGUAUCCUACGAAGAUUCUAUUGGAAGGGAAAUAACGGUCGGUCAGAGAUUGGUGGAUGGCUUUUCAUCAAGUUCCAAUCGUAUAUUUUGUCAGCAGGCAGGCAAGGAAAUUUGAGGCAGCUGGUGGCCCCUACUUUGGGUGUUGAAUAAAAAAAAAACACAAAUGAAAAACAUUACAUGUCCUAUUGGCCAUUGGGGGAAUAUCAGGACGACUGCCAGGAAACAAGUAACCCAAACAGUAGUCUACUACACAUGUUUAGAAGAAAUUUCAAGCUUUGACUUGAAUAAAACAUGGAGUAGUUUUGAGUUAUUUAAUAUUGUGCCAAAAAUAUAAAGAGAAGUUAAACUAAAGACAUGUAAAGUAACAUUUUAUGAAACUAAAAUUACUUAUCUUACCUUUGUAUUUUACUAGUACAUUUCAGGAUUUAUAUUUUCCAAGUUAGGCCAAUUUUUCUUUCUUUGAAAAGUUUUUGUCUUGUAAAAAUGUUGAAUUUGAGUAGCCUACUUAAUCAAUCAAUUUGUGUGGCAGCAAAUGUCCUUUCCUAGGAUCUAAUCAAUGACUUAAUUACUCAAAACAUUACAUCAUACAGCUUCUUUUCCAGGAAAGUGUAAGGAAAACAUGGGACUGAAAACUCGGGACUCUUAAUUGAUAAUGAAAGGCCACAAGUAGCAUUUGAUUUGAGGCAAAUUAAGCAAUGGUUAUUAAAUUAAUCAUGACUUGGAGUAUAUUUGUCAAUUCAAAAAAGAAAGAUUCUCUACUUACUUUAUACUAAAAUCCUAUGCUUCUCUAUUAGUAUAAAUUAAUAAAAAAUAAAGUAAAAUACUGUUAUUCUCUUAAUUUUUAAUCAUAAUUCUAGACGAGUCUAUUAAUUUUCAAAAUGAACAUUUUAUCUAAAAAGUGUAAAUAUUGUUAAUAAAAAUUAUAAAAUGACUAAAACACAUUUUCUUUUUUUUUUCUUUCAAACAAUAUGAUCAGUCGACGACAAGAACACCGAUCAAGUUCUCCUUAGGACCCUAGAAGCUCCUCGACUUCUUUUGGCAAAAAAAAAAAUUACAAAAAAAAUAAUAUAAUAAUUUUUAAAAUUAAUAAAAAGUAAAAUUAUCUUUUUAAUAUUGUCACGUCAUCAAACUAACAGAAAUAUUAACAGUUGAUUGAUGGCUAGACCUAUGUGUUUAGGAGAAGAUAUUUUUUAAGAUAAAGUAUUCAUUUUAAAAAUUAAUGAACCCGCUUGGAGUUAUGACUAAAAGUAAAAGUGAGAGUAUUUAUCUUAAAAAUUAUAAUAAUGAAAAAGUAAUAGUAUUAAUUAGGAAGGAUAUGAAGUAACUAUUGCAAAAGCUUUGACCUCAUGUCUUGUUAAUUAAUUAAGGAAACAUUUUGUCUCCUGAUUUUUCCAGGAAACCAAACGCCUCCCUCUUCUAUCCUUGUUUUUCCUUCCUUCUUAUUGCUCCAUAUUAUUUUAUUUUCUUGCACUUGCUUCACAAUCAUAUGGCUUAUUUUAUGUAUGCAACCACAACUCUAAACAUCUUCAACUAGGAUUUUAUAUUGUCUCUUCCAUCCUCUACACCAUCAUAGGCAAAUAUAUCUAUAUCUAAACAUUUGACUCAUUGAUUGGUGCAUGAUCCCCUUACCUAAAAAGCAAAGUUUGAAUCCCCUCUCUCUCAAUUAAAAAAAAAUUCAUAUAUAUAUAUAUAUAUAUAUAUAUAUAUAUUACCCUUAUCCUUUUUCCAUUUUACCCUGAGUCUAGCACCCGCUUAACCAGCUUGACUUCCAAUCUUAGGGACUCACUUUGACUUUGAACAAGGAAUUGAUAACGACCUUUAUCUUUAAUAAUCUCAAUAAUCAAGCAUACUUUUCCUGAGUUGGAAAAUUCGGUGUAGAUGAAAAAUUUGAAUUAAAAUUUUUCGAUACUGACUCAAUUUUUUAAAAGUUUUCCCCAAUUUCAUGAUUAUUUAUUUAAUCGAAUGUACUAAUCAGCCAACAUAUUCAUCCGUUAAAAAUUGGAGCAAAUGUUGGCAUGUUUAGAAACAACCAUGCAUAUGUAUUUGGGACCAUUCUAUGAGUUACUUAUAGAUUAUCUUGAUAUUUUCAAUCCCUAGAUUUUAAAUUUUUUUCUUAAUCAAAGGUAAAUUUUAUUGAGUAUCAAAUGUUUGAUAAGAAAGAUAGCAAGAAAAGGAACAAUAUGUGCCUAGCCCAUUGUUAUUAUGUAGAUUUUAUGUAUUAUUAAUGAACUAAAUAUUUUCACAUAAUUAAUAAAAAAAAUUUAAAGGUUGAGUAGUCUAAAAAAUGAAUACUUAUAAUUCUAAAAAUAUAUAUUUUGAAAUUUUUUUUAAAUUUUUAUCUUUACACAUUUAUAAAGUAAUGUUAUGUAAUUAAAUAAUAAUAUAUAAAUAUUAUACAUUGACGGUAUACUAAAUAUACCUAUAGUGCUAUUUCUUGGAAGUUUUCUCAAAUACAAACCUCAAUAUUAUUUUUUUUUAUAUAUAAAAACGUUAAGCCACCAUCACUGAUAUUGUAACUGCUUAAUUCCAGUGCAACUAUCUCACGGAAGCUGACUAAGUCCAAGGUUGUUUGGGAGUGCCCACCCAAGGGUUGGUUCAAGUUCAAUACCAAUAGGGCAGCUAGGGGUUGUCCGACGCAUCUUGGGAUUGGAGGGGUUCUACGCGACGACACAAGGGCUGUCAAGCUCGUCUUCUCAAAGAAUGCUAGUUAGGGUGAUGCCAAUCUCGAAGAGGUGUUAGCAGUUUAAGAGGCCAUUUUAUAGCCUCCUCCUGGGUGCAUUCUUAUAGCAUUAUCAUUGAAUCUGACUUUAGGAGUGUUGUGUCUUGGGUGUCCGAUCCUACUAAAGCUUCGUCAAGGGUGAGACAACUUAUCCUUCAGAUUUGCUCACUCAAAAAUGCAGUUGCUAGCUGGCAGAUCAGGCAUAUUUCAAGAUCAGUAAUGAGGUUGCUGACAUCCUUGCCAAAUUAGGGGUUGACAGAGUCCAUGAUUUGUUACGCUUUCAGCCUUAAUUGUUGUUGUGACUUUGUGCUUGCGGGGAUUUUUAGGUUAUUGCUUUAGUGUGGAGUUGCUGCCUUUCUCAUUCAUGUGAAGGUAAUGUCUAAUCCGGGGAAUGUCAUGCUUUUGUCAAAUUUGCAAGAGGAGUAAACAUCCAUGAGGGCCAUGUUUCUUACUCUUGUUUAUCAUUUUGCCUAUUUUUGUUUUAGGAUGCGAUUUACUGCUAAGGAGAUAUGAGCACUUUUUUUUGUAUAGUUACAGGUUGUUUCUGGCUAUAUUUUUGUAAGCCAGACUUCCAAUAAGGUCCUGCUCAUUGUGUAUAUGGGAUUUUCCCUUUUGUUAAUGAAGUUUACCAUCUUUAAUUUUCCAAAAAAAAAAAAAAGGUUUAAGCCUCGUCAUUAUUUCAGUCAUAGUCGAAGAAACAACUUAACUAUUUGCAUGCAUUACACAUUACAUCAGGCUUAAACCAACAAUAUGACUCCGUGCGACUCCUUUGCUUGUAAUGGGGACAAAUAGGGAAUCUUGUUAUCCUGUUCUAAACUUUUCUUCCCUGUGAGUUUCCUCUUUCUUUAUCCUUGACUUCACUCACAUAUUUCUUAGUUGAAGCUUCUGCAUGUGCCUUUUCCCUUCAUUCAAAUAGUAAAGGCAAGAUCAACUUUUUCAUUUUUCCUAGCAACUUUCCUUUAUUCAUCAACUUCUAAAACAUUCACCAAAUCUGAUAUAGAGCUCUGUGAGAUGUCUUUCACUUGUUCCAAAGAAGAAACUGUGGCAUCAAACCUUUUAGGUAAACUGGUAAGGACUUUCUCCACAACCUUAGCAUCAGAUAAAGUCUCUCUCAACAGUCGAAUUGGAUUUUCCAGCUUCAUCACUGCAUUAAUGAAUUCUUGCACAGUCUGACUUUCUCUCAUCCUCAGAAGUUCAUAUUGCCUUCUGAAGUUCUGUAGAUGAAUUGGCUUGUUUAUGGCAGACCCCAAAAGUUCUUCUUCAAGUUUGUUCCAACCCUGUUUUGCUGUCUCACAUCCCAUAAUCAGGCUGAAAACGGACUCUGUAACAGCUGAGUGUAUGAAGGAUAAGGCUCUGAAUUUCUUUGCAAUAUCCUCUUCAUAUUGCUUCACCUAUGUUAGUGUGGCAUUAUCUCUCAAUGCUGGUACAUCUGUCUCAUUUUCAACUGCAUUCCAUAGAUUGACACCUUUCAAGAAUGCUUUCAUUCUAAUGGCCCAAACAAGAUAGUUAGAGGCAUUGAAAAUGGGCGUAGUUUGACAUUUUGAUGAAGAAUAAACUUGUGAUGAGUGAGAAAGAGGUUUUAAUUGGCUCACAGAUUGGUUAUCUGCUUUGAUAUCAUGUCAUGAAGCUAAAAAAAGAUGAUAAAAAUAGUAUUAUAUACUGUUCUGUAGAAAAAGGAAAAACAUAGAGCAAGCUGGAGAAGGAAAGAUGCUUCAUUAAUUACUAAACAGAUAAUAUAUAUAUACAAGCAUCAUAUGGUUAACAACUGUUUACAAAGUGUACAAGUGUUAUUAACUAAAACAUGCACUAAAACACCUUAUAAACACUGGUAUAAUAUUCUUAAUAACUAGUACAAUGAAGCAAAAUACAUAGUAAAAAACAAAAUGAUAAAGUUAAUGCAUGCUUUAACUCUAACUUGUACAUCAAUUUAUAUUCUUCAUUACCGACGUUGUCACUGGAGCAAAGGGGAAUAUCUACACCAAUUAUUCUCUGGGGCCAUUUGUAGUGUUACCAAGCUCAAUAGAAUGUCUUUCAGGAAAAGGGAAUAUCUCCGGAGAAGCUGUAACGCUUGGGGUAAUAUCACCAUUUUCAGCUACUCUUCGUUGAUCUGCCAAGAACACAAAGUCUGGCUCUGUUUGGUUUGAGUAGCUUGAUGGACUUGGUGGGCAGUUAGUGUUUGGUGAGUCUCCUGCAACACUAAUACUAUGAACACUAUCAUUUCUGCUUUUGUCUUCGAGUUCGCUUUUUCUGAAAGUAUGGGAGCUAAGGUCUUUUUGGUCGAAAAUUCUUGACAUGAUCUGAAUUCUUCUCCAGAAAGGAGUUUCAGAAUCAAAAUGCAACAAGACAUGCCUUUGCUCAUAAAAAAAUAUUGCUGCAAAUAUGAUUAGAGCUGAUAUUGAGGCGACUCCAGCAAUAAGGAACAAGCCCCCAAAACUCUCAACACCAAGACUGUUGGAAGAAACCAAAGUGUUGAGGUCAGGACAACUGCUUCC